GUUUAAUUUCGAUGCAACGCGAAAAACCUUACCACUUCUUGACAUGGAGGCUAGAUCCUUCUUAACAGAAGGGCGCAGUUCGGCUGGGCCUCGCACAGGUGCUGCAUGGCUGUCGUCAGCUCGUGUCGUGAGAUGUUGGGUUAAGUCCCGCAACGAGCGCAACCCUCAUCCUUAGUUACCAGCGGGUAAUGCCGGGCACUUUAAGGAAACUGCCAGUGAUAAACUGGAGGAAGGUGGGGAUGAUGUCAAGUCAGCACGGCCCUUAUGGGGUGGGCUACACACGUGCUACAAUGGCGACUACAAUAGGUUGCAACGUCGCAAGGCUGAGCUAAUCCGUAAAAGUCGUCUCAGUUCGGAUUGUCCUCUGUAACUCGAGGGCAUGAAGUCGGAAUCGCUAGUAAUCGUGGAUCAGCAUGCCACGGUGAAUAC
rnacentral:rRNA from 1 species